UUGUGUUUUGUUGGCAAUUUGUGAUUCAACGUGGUAAUUAAAAAGUUUCAAUAUUGAGUAAAUGGUCCGCUACAGAUCACUCCGGGGAAGAGGUUAUUGGGUUACGUAAAAAGACUCAUGUGCUGUGGGAAUAGCUAUUGAAGAACACAAGGUAUCGAUUGUGUCUCACUCGACGUACCAUAAGAAAGUUAAAUGGUAAAGUGUGAUAUAUGAAGUGAAAAUACAACGUUACUAUAAUUAGCGGAUCCAAGAUGUCCAAAUGAUGAUGAUGAUUGAUAUAGGAAAUGCGAUUAUGUAGAAGAUAAAGUGAAUUUCCAAAAUAUCAAAAUUAAAAUCGAAAAUAAUC